UUUGUAGUGUUAUUAGAAGUUGAUAGAAAAUCCUAGAGUACUUUCUCUGUCCACAAAUAAAUGUACUUCUAGAAUUUUUUUUUACUUUUUAUUUAUGCAAAAUUAAAAGUUCAAAACUAAAAGAUAAAAAUGUAAAGGAUAAAAAAUGUAAAGGUAAAAAAACUUAAAACCAUUGAAUCAGAAAAUAAAAGUAAAAGUUAGAAAAAUAAAAAAUAGAAAAUCCUAGAGUACUUUCUCUGUCCACAAGCAAGUGUACUUCUAGAUUAUUUUUUUACUUUUUAUUUAUGCAAAAUUAAAAGUUCAAAACUAAAAGAUAAAAAAUAUAAAGGAUAAAAAAUGUAAAGGUAAAAGAACUUAAAACCAUUGAAUCAGAAAAUAAAAGUAAAAGUUAGAAAAAUAAAAAUUAAAGUCAACCAGCAGAGAAUAAAAAGUUGCCAAAAAGUCAAAAAAAUCCGACAACCCAAAAAGUCCGUCACAAUUCGUCCGUCAAGUGAGUUUUGGGCAGUCGUCCGCCAAAUAGGUGACCCGAUAGAUAGAUGGUGUGACUCGUGCGUAUAGAAUGGACGAGGCUACCGUUUAAUAGAGUUGUGUGUUUUCGAACCAUAUAUACUUCGUAGCUUGACAAUGGUUGUUGCAG
rnacentral:lncRNA from 1 species